GUGCCAGCCGCCGCGGUAAUACCGGCAGCUCAAGUGAUGGCCACUCUUAUUGGGCCUAAAGCGUCCGUAGCUGGCCGCGCAAGUCCGUCGGGAAAUCCAUCAGCCCAACUGAUGGGCGUCCGGCGGAAACUGCACGGCUUGGGACCGGAAGGCUCGAGAGGUACGUCCGGGGUAGGAGUGAAAUCCCGUAAUCCCGAACGGACCACCGAUGGCGAAAGCACGUCGGGAAGACGGAUCCGACGGUGAGGGACGAAAGCCAGGGUCUCCAACCGGAUUAGAAACCCGAGUAGUCC
rnacentral:rRNA from 1 species